rnacentral:rRNA from 1 species
AUUGAACGCUGGCGGAAUGCUUUACACAUGCAAGUCGAACGGUAGAGGGGGCAACCCCUCGAGAGUGGCGAACGGGUGAGCAAUAUAUCGGAACGUGCCCAGUCGUGGGGGAUAACGUAGCGAAAGUUACGCUAAUACCGCAUACGAUCUAAGGAUGAAAGCGGGGGAUCGCAAGACCUCGCGCGAUUGGAGCGGCCGAUAUCAGAUUAGGUAGUUGGUGGGGUAAAGGCGCACCAAGCCAACGAUCUGUAGCUGGUCUGGGAGGACGACCAGCCACACUGGAACUGAGACACGGUCCAGACUCCUACGGGAGGCAGCAGUGGGGAAUUUUGGACAAUGGACGCAAGUCUGAUCCAGCCAUUCCGCGUGCAGGAUGAAGGCCCUCGGGUUGUAAACUGCUUUUGUACGGAACGAAAAGGUCUCUCUUAAUACGGGGGACUCAUGACGGUACCGUAAGAAUAAGCACCGGCUAACUACGUGCCAGCAGCCGCGGUAA